UGGUUCUGGCAUCGAUGAAGAACGCAGCGAAAUGCGAUAAGUAAUGCGAAUUGCAGAAUUCAGUGAAUCAUCGAAUCUUUGAACGCACAUUGCGCCCGCCGGUAUUCUGGCGGGCAUGCCUGUCCGAGCGUCAUUUCAACCCUCGAACCCCUCCGGGGGGUCGGCGUUGGGGAUCGGCCCUCCCUCGCGGCGGGCCGUCUCCGAAAUACAGUGGCGGUCUCGCCGCAGCCUCUCCUGCGCAGUAGCUUGCACACUCGCACCGGGAGCGCGGCGCGCCCACAGCCGUUAAACACCCAACUUUCUGAAACGUUGACCUCGGAUCAGGUAGGAAUACCCGCUGA
rnacentral:misc_RNA from 1 species